ACUCUCAUAACUCUCACAUCAGGACAGAAGAAAACACACCUGACUCAUCGACAGAUUGGACACCUACAAACCGUCACACGAUAAUAAAAACAGCUCUCGGGGUGUUAUCUUUCACAUCAUGUGCAAACAGGACAAGGACAGUCUUAAGGAAAGCUGAGGAAAGCUGUUCUCAGAGAUGAGACUAUUCCUCCACAGACUAGUGUUGUGUUUGUACUAAACCCAGAGCAGCCCUGAAUGAAUCGACAGAAUGACCAGCUCAUAUUCUAAUACUAUAGACUGCAUUUAAAAAGCUUUGCACAGGCUGUUUAAUGCUGAUAAUGUACUGCGUGUGUCUUUACACAUAAA